GGAUGUCUCCCUCUACAAAAAUACUCUUCACAGUCUAGUGGGAAAGGAGCCAUGACACAUGCCACAAAUGCUGGACCUUUUCUAUGGCUGUGUCUGUCAUCAGUGGAUGGCUCCUGCAAAUGAACCCUUCAUCAGCCUAAUGCUGAUGUCAAUGCUAAAGAGGCCAAGGUGAGAACCAAAGAACAUGCAAGAGCAUGCAAGAGCAGCUCUCUGGUUAAAAGUUACACUGGUGUAAAUCAGGAUAGACUGGACUGAGCUGCAUUGGUGUCAAGCAGCUGCAAGUACGAGCUGAAUGGAGGAGCGCUCUGCUUUUUCAGCAGGCCUGGCGGUGCAAUCAUGCAGAGCAGACGUAGUGGUGUCAGUGCUGUAUGGAGCUUGGUCCUGGGAGCGACAAUCUCUGCACAUAUUGGGGAAUGCAAAACCAUCCGUGAAGAAUGAGGCUCUAAAAAUCACCACAUCAGCCCAGGUGCUACUACCACAAUGGAAGCGCUUGGGCUGAAUCUAGAUGGAUAUAAACAAGAGGGAGCUACUGGCAAGCUCUGAGGCGGAGCUUUGGAACCAGCUUCCUCCUUUGAUCUGUCUCUGUCCAGACGUUUUCAAUCUUCCCUGGCAGGUUGCAAAGCCAAAAAUGUUUCUUUCAGCUUUUGAGGUGAUGUGCAUGGGGUAGCUGAGGGUGUCAAGGAUUUAGUGGAUUAGUCACUUACAUAUGCUAUAAAGGACAGCCAUAUCUUACACUGAAAGUUGGUAAUGACUGCCAGUAGGUGACUGAGACCAGGUAUAUACUUCAGGGGAAGGUCAGAUCAAGAUAUGCCAUUCCAGAUACAUUAAUUACAUAGCUAGAGUCUACAUACCUUGAUGCGAGUUUCCAUGCGAUCUCCACAGAGCAGGCUGACAGGAGCAAAUGCUCCUAUUUGCUUCCCUUGCUCCUCAUACUGGCACUGAGGGGCUGUCCCCUGGGUUCAGUUUAGAAGGUCUUUAUUAGACCCGCUAAAUUGAACAUCAGAAGAUUGAUUGUGGCAACAUCAAUCUUCCCCGUGGUGAAGAUAUGGCCUCAGAGCCAAGGACUAUCCUGGGCUUUGCUAAAGGAAUGCUGUCCCAAGCACUCUUUUAGGAUCAACAGAAGGAGCGAUGAAGCCCCACUGUGUAGUAAAACCAAAGACAAUAGGCACAUGGCAGGUCAGAGCUAAGCCAUAUAGAUGCAGUGGCUUUCCUGGUUGCAAGCCCUGGAACAGCACUAGGAUAUUGGUUGCAGGCUCUUUGGAGUUGUGAGUGUGAACCUGAGAGGAAGCAAAGAGCAAGGACUCCUCAAACACUGAACUUGCUGCAGUAGCAGACAUGGGGAUUUCUCAACUGUUUGCUAUUGGCUGUAUCUCCUGUUGUCAGGGAAACAGGACUGAUGUAUGUGUUCUGUAAAUAAAAAAGAUUACAUCGAGGACAUGCCUGAUCUGCACUAUCA